CUUCGGGAAACCGAGGCUAAUACCGCAUAAUACCCACGGGUCAAAGGAGCAAUUCGCUUGAGGAGGAGGUCGCGGCCGAUUAGUUAGUUGGCGGGGUAAUGGCCCACCAAGACGGUGAUCGGUAUCCGGCCUGAGAGGGCGCACGGACACACUGGAACUGAAACGCGGUCCAGACUCCUACGAGAGGCAGCAGUGGGGAAUUUUGCGCAAUGGGGGAAACCCUGACGCAGCAACGCCGCGUGGAGGAUGAAGUCUCUUGGGACGUAAACUCCUUUCGAUCGGGACGAUUAUGACGGUACCGGAAGAAGAAGCCCCGGCUAACUUCGUG
rnacentral:rRNA from 1 species